rnacentral:lncRNA from 1 species
AGGGGCCUCAUCUGUCUUGUUCCUCCUGUGGCCUGGGUCCUAGCACCAUGUCUGGUACAGUAUCCUGGUCAGAGUAAAACAUUCCAUGGGAACUCGGGCUGUGAGAAACAUCCUAACCACCUGACUGCAGAAACAUCCUUAUCACAUCCUGCUGGGCAAGGGCCCAACAGCCUGACUUCAGGAACAUCCUUAUCAUCUUCUACUGAGCAGCAAGCUAUACUGUCCAGAGCCCUCCCUCCCAGC